rnacentral:rRNA from 1 species
GCUUACGGCCAUACCAACUUGAGAAUGCCCGAUCUCGUCUGAUCUCGGAAGCCAAGCAAGUGAGGGCCUGGUUAGUACUUGGAUGGGAGACCGCCUGGGAAUCCCAGGUGCUGUAAGCGUUU